AUUCCAGCUCCAAUAGCGUAUAUUAAAGUUGUUGCAGUUAAAAAGCUCGUAGUUGGAUUUGUGGUGUACUUCGGCGGCCCGUCACUAUGUGAUGGAGCUUGCUGAAGUCGCCAUCCUUGGGUGAUCCUGUGUGGCAUUAAGUUGUCGUGCAGGGGAUGCCCAUCGUUUACUGUGAAAAAAUUAGAGUGUUCAAAGCAGGCUUAUGCCGUUGAAUAUAUUAGCAUGGAAUAAUAAGAUAGGACCUUGGUACUAUUUUGUUGGUUUGCGCACCAAGGUAAUGAUUAAUAGGGACAGUUGGGGGUAUUCGUAUUUCAUUGUCAGAGGUGAAAUUCUUGGAUUUUUGAAAGACGAACUACUGCGAAAGCAUUUACCAAGGAUGUUUUCAUUA
rnacentral:rRNA from 1 species